rnacentral:rRNA from 1 species
AACGAACGCUGGCGGCAUGCCUAACACAUGCAAGUCGAACGAGAUCUUCGGGUCUAGUGGCGCACGGGUGCGUAACGCGUGGGAAUCUGCCCUUUGGUUCGGAAUAACAGUUGGAAACGACUGCUAAUACCGGAUGAUGACGAAAGUCCAAAGAUUUAUCGCCAGAGGAUGAGCCCGCGUAGGAUUAGCUGGUUGGUGUGGUAAAGGCGCACCAAGGCGACGAUCCUUAGCUGGUCUGAGAGGAUGAUCAGCCACACUGGGACUGAGACACGGCCCAGACUCCUACGGGAGGCAGCAGUGGGGAAUAUUGGACAAUGGGCGAAAGCCUGAUCCAACAAUGCCGCGUGAGUGAUGAAGGCCUUAGGGUUGUAAAGCUCUUUUACCCGGGAUGAUAAUGACAGUACCGGGAGAAUAAGCUCCGGCUAACUCCGUGCCAGCAGCCGCGGUAA